rnacentral:misc_RNA from 1 species
GGACAAUCGAAAAGGAAUUCUUCUUUGAUGCUGAGAUACUAUUCAGUGCAUAAUGCAAUAAAUCAUGCCUGUGUAUACUAUCUAUCUAUAGUACAAUGUUUACACAUUUCUCCCUAUUAACAUACCCAGCUAAAUUAGCUUUUACAAAGUUUUUCUUAUUAUUGCAUUUCCUACUUCUCACUUCUUCUCCAGUAGCUGAAGUGAACAUGAUGUGAUGGUUUUGGAUCAUGUGUAAUCAAUAAUACAGGCACGUAAUUGGUCACACAUCUGAUACAACCAGUAUAUGAUCACAUCUGUGGUUUUGUCUGAACAACAUGCAACGAGAAUAUCAUCACAUCUGCGGUCUUGUCUGAACAACAUACAAACACAAUAUGAUCACAUCUGUGGUCUUGUCUGAACGACAUAAAGCUUUCCAUCCCUCACUACACCCUCAAUGUCUUGUGAAGAGCCAUAUAGCUCCUCGAUAGCAUGUCCAGCACGAGCAAUGUUGGACAGGAUUGUCUGGCGGAAGUUACCAUCAGUUAUCAAUGGGUCGGAAGAGUAAUCAAUUACAACUUCUUCCUCUUCAUCCAUUGGUACA